rnacentral:rRNA from 1 species
UUCGACACACUAUCAUUAACUGAAUCCAUAGGUUAAUGAGGCGAACCGGGGGAACUGAAACAUCUAAGUACCCCGAGGAAAAGAAAUCAACCGAGAUUCCCCCAGUAGCGGCGAGCGAACGGGGAGGAGCCCAGAGCCUGAAUCAGUGUGUGUGUUAGUGGAAGCGUCUGGAAAGGCGCGCGAUACAGGGUGACAGCCCCGUACACAAAAAUGCACAUGCUGUGAGCUCGAUGAGUAGGGCGGGACACGUGGUAUCCUGUCUGAAUAUGGGGGGACCAUCCUCCAAGGCUAAAUACUCCUGACUGACCGAUAGUGAACCAGUACCGUGAGGGAAAGGCGAAAAGAACCCCGGCGAGGGGAGUGAAAAAGAACCUGAAACCGUGUACGUACAAGCAGUGGGAGCACGCUUAGGCGUGUGACUGCGUACCUUUUGUAUAAUGGGUCAGCGACUUAUAUUCUGUAGCAAGGUUAACCGAAUAGGGGAGCCGAAGGGAAACCGAGUCUUAACUGGGCGUUAAGUUGCAGGGUAUAGACCCGAAACCCGGUGAUCUAGCCAUGGGCAGGUUGAAGGUUGGGUAACACUAACUGGAGGACCGAACCGACUAAUGUUGAAAAAUUAGCGGAUGACUUGUGGCUGGGGGUGAAAGGCCAAUCAAACCGGGAGAUAGCUGGUUCUCCCCGAAAGCUAUUUAGGUAGCGCCUCGUGAAUUCAUCUCCGGGGGUAGAGCACUGUUUCGGCAAGGGGGUCAUCCCGACUUACCAACCCGAUGCAAACUGCGAAUACCGGAGAAUGUUAUCACGGGAGACACACGGCGGGUGCUAACGUCCGUCGUGAAGAGGGAAACAACCCAGACCGCCAGCUAAGGUCCCAAAGUCAUGGUUAAGUGGGAAACGAUGUGGGAAGGCCCAGACAGCCAGGAUGUUGGCUUAGAAGCAGCCAUCAUUUAAAGAAAGCGUAAUAGCUCACUGGUCGAGUCGGCCUGCGCGGAAGAUGUAACGGGGCUAAACCAUGCACCGAAGCUGCGGCAGCGACGCUUAUGCGUUGUUGGGUAGGGGAGCGUUCUGUAAGCCUGUGAAGGUGUGCUGUGAGGCAUGCUGGAGGUAUCAGAAGUGCGAAUGCUGACAUAAGUAACGAUAAAGCGGGUGAAAAGCCCGCUCGCCGGAAGACCAAGGGUUCCUGUCCAACGUUAAUCGGGGCAGGGUGAGUCGACCCCUAAGGCGAGGCCGAAAGGCGUAGUCGAUGGGAAACAGGUUAAUAUUCCUGUACUUGGUGUUACUGCGAAGGGGGGACGGAGAAGGCUAUGUUGGCCGGGCGACGGUUGUCCCGGUUUAAGCGUGUAGGCUGGUUUUCCAGGCAAAUCCGGAAAAUCAAGGCUGAGGCGUGAUGACGAGGCACUACGGUGCUGAAGCAACAAAUGCCCUGCUUCCAGGAAAAGCCUCUAAGCAUCAGGUAACAUCAAAUCGUACCCCAAACCGACACAGGUGGUCAGGUAGAGAAUACCAAGGCGCUUGAGAGAACUCGGGUGAAGGAACUAGGCAAAAUGGUGCCGUAACUUCGGGAGAAGGCACGCUGAUAUGUAGGUGAAGUCCCUCGCGGAUGGAGCUGAAAUCAGUCGAAGAUACCAGCUGGCUGCAACUGUUUAUUAAAAACACAGCACUGUGCAAACACGA